rnacentral:misc_RNA from 1 species
AAAUAAAAAUCGGGGUUGUUGCUGCCUUUCGUGGUGACGCUUCGGGAUUGGGUUGUCUUUACCUUCGGUUAAAGUGACCUAAAAUUUUAUAUGAUUUUUCGAACGUAUUUAAAUUAUUUACGUACGUUUGCAUUGUCGAAUAUUAGGUGUGGUCAUUUUCAUGAUACGCGUCUAUAAUUUUUCAUC